CCUGUCUCAAUCAUGUACAUCCUUGGCCAGACUUUUCUCACAUCUUCUCUCAAUUAUUUAAAGAACUCCCAGUGGGUCUGCAGAUUUUUAUCCUGACCCAGUCUCUACGUAGCUGCUGGUGGUAGAGAUGUACUCAUGGGAAGUGAAUCAAGAUAGUAAAAAUCCUAACUCUUGAUGUGUAGUAAAUACCUGAGGAAUUGAAAUGCACUGGAUUAGAGAAUCCAAGAUGGUGGAGGAGUGGGAAACCUUCACUUCAUCUGGUACCAGGAAUUCAGAUCAUCCUGAACAUCUGUGAACUCAACCGGAGAUCUAAGAAAAGAAUAGCUGCAACUCUACAAAUAGAAAAGUGACCCCUUUCUGGAAGCUAGAAGAACCCUCUAGCAGUGAGGAGAGAACGGAUGUCGCCGGGCAGCUGUGACGUCAGCUGAAAGGAGGAGCCAAGGUCGCUCGGGCAUCUUAGGAAGACUCUGCCUUAAAGACUGAUAAUUAUGGUGUCCUUUCUGAUCCUGCACAAGAUUCGUCCGAUGUGUCCGAGUGGAUUAGAGUGGAGAGUGGAAGCAGAAAAGGAGCCAAGGACAAGACGCAAGCAAUAAAGAAGAGCAGGACAUGCCAGGACAGGGAGAUUUCCUCCAGCCCCUCUGUUUAUAAGUCCCACCAGUGCCAUUGGGGGGGAUUAAAUGUAAUACGUGUGCAUGCUAUUUGCAGCUUUUGCAUGUAUGAUUUAUACUUAUGGUAACAGUUGAAUAAAUAGUGUAUAUUUCACUUUA